ACGGCUCAGUAACACGUAGUCAAUCUACCCUAUGGACGGGAAUAACCUCGGGAAACUGAGAAUAAUGCCCGAUAGAACAUUAUGCCUGGAAUGGUUUAUGUUUCAAAUGAUUUAUCGCCAUAGGAUGGGACUGCGGCCUAUCAGUUUGUUGGUGAGGUAAUGGCCCACCAAGACUAUUACAGGUACGGGCUCUGAGAGGAGUAGCCCGGAGAUGGGUACUGAGACACGGACCCAGGCCCUAUGGGGCGCAGCAGGCGAGAAAACUUUGCAAUGUGCGGAAGCACGACAAGGUUAAUCCGAGUGGUUUCUGCUAAAGAAACCUUUUGUCAGUCCUAGAAACACUAACGAAUAAGGGGUGGGCAAGUUCUGGUGUCAGCCGCCGCGGUAAAACCAGCACCUCAAGUGGUCAGGAUGAUUAUUGGGCCUAAAGCAUCCGUAGCCCGUUUUGUAAGUUUUCGGUUAAAUCCAUGCGCUUAACGUAUGGGCUGCCGGGAAUACUGCAUAACUAGGAAGUGGGAGAGGUAGACGGUACUCGGUAGGAAGGGGUAAAAUCCUUUGAUCUAUUGAUGACCACCUGUGGCGAAGGCGGUCUACCAGAACACGUUCGACGGUGAGGGAUGAAAGCUGGGGGAGCAAACCGGAUUAGAUACCCGUGUAGUCCCAGCUGUAAACUAUGCAAACUCAGUGAUGCAUUGGCUUAUGGCCAAUGCAGUGCUGCAGGGAAGCCGUUAAGUUUGCCGCCUGGGAAGUACGUACGCAAGUAUGAAACUUAAAGGAAUUGGCGGGGGAGCAC
rnacentral:rRNA from 1 species